GUGCUACCUUUGGCAGCACAUAUACUGAAACUGGAAUGAUAAAGAGAGAUUAGCAUGGCCCUUGUGCAAAGA
rnacentral:snRNA from 1 species